GCCGGUCCGAGAUGGACCGGUUCCGUUCAGGUACCAGGAAGCCGGUGUGAGUCCGGCGCGGUCCCGCCACUGUGACCGUGACCUCGUCACGGAAGUCAGGAACUGCCCUGUUCGGACGGCCCCAG
rnacentral:ncRNA from 1 species